ensembl:lncRNA
AGGGAGAUGUUGCUGGGGCCAGGAUGGGCUGGGAUUCUGUUUGCUUUGCUUAGGAGAUGGUGGGGCAAUCAGAGAUCAGGGGCCUGUGAGCUGCUGUGAGAAGGGAAGGAGGGGCUUGGGAUUUGGGCCCAGGAAUUCCCAUCAGGAAUGAAACACUUUCCACCUGCUGCCACCUAAAGCGCCUAACUCCGUCAUGGAAUUUGCGUGCAGACAGUUAGAUCGGACUUUGGAAACAGAGGAUGAAUAAUGAGUUUCCUUCUUUCUGUUCACAGAGGCCAGCCAAGAGCCAGAGCUGGAGCCAGGCCUCUGGUCGUAAACUAAACAACAGAACCAGUUAUUGGUUUCAAGUCUGACUGCCUCCUCUUGUAAGGACUUUGGAACUUGGAGAAGCUCCCUUACCCUUUAUAAGCCAGCAGAAAGAAGUAUGAUUGUCAAGACCCCAGACAGAAUGGCAGCCAACAAUCUAAGUGUCUUUCGAUGGAUGAAUGGAUAAAGAAAAUGUGGUAUAGCUAUACAAAAUGGAAUAUUAUUCAGCCAUGAGAAAGAAAGAAAUCCUUCCAUUUGUGACAACGUGGAUGAGCCUGGAGGACAUUAUGCUGAGUGAAAUAAGCCAGACACAGAAAGACAAAUAUGUAAAAGAAACAGCUGCUGCUAUCCAGAGUAAAUCAGUCACAAAGAAACCUGCUCCUCAUUCUGUCUCCUGGUUUCCCAUAAAUGCCUGAAGCCCAGCCUUGUAGUUGGAGUUACUGGGACAAAGGGUACUUCAAAUUCGAAUACACUACCAAACUUUACUUCAGAAACGGUGUGAAGAUUUUUUAAUCAACAAGGUCUUACAUCACACAGCGGUCUACUUGUAAGGAGGCUUUCCUAUAGAGACAGAGCUUAUCAACUGGUGAUCUUCACUGUGAGAUGAUUGAGUGAGAACCUGGCUAAUUCAUUGGGGACCCCAAAAUGACAUUAUCUAUGGGUCUUUUCUUUGAGAGCAGUUCCAGUCUCCUCAGAGAUGAAUUCUCCAGUUUCCUGCCUGGAAAAUAUAUACCUGACUGCUGGUGUUCUUGGAACCAAUGUUUUUGGAGUGUAGGAAAAGGGACCUUAUUGUAGACUUUCAUUUAGUGCCCCUAUUUUCAAUAGAAUGCCCAUUCCCUAUUUUUAACUCUAUCUGGGGCAUCUGGGUCUGGGGCUUCUGUGGAUCAAUUUAGUUUGAAUAAACUUCCAAUCUCCUGCCAGAGUAGGGAAAAGGUAUUUUCCUGGCUGAGCAGGUUGAGGGAGGAGAACUAAGAGUGGUCUAGCUGCUUUUCUCGCACACAUGCAACCAAAUCCUCUGCUUUCGGCCUCUUGACACACCCCUGCUUUCUUUGGUCACUGGUGUCUCUAAUUUCUGAGCUUCCCAGGCAUUCCACAGCAUGAAUUGUCUUGCUUCUCAUUUUGCAGCCCCCACUCUGCAGACAUUUGCUCUUCAGUCCCUUCAGCUCUGCUAACCUGCAUCUACUUUCUAUCUUCCAAAAACGUCUUGGCAUAUCUAGUCUUCUGCUGCCUUCAUUACCAUUCUCUCUGUCUUUGUGGGAUUUUACCCCUUAAAAAACUAAUUUCUCUUCAUUUUAGCGUAGUUUUAGAAGAGAUAAUAGAUAAACAUGUAUUUAAUGUCAUAUUUAAUUGGAAGUCCUCCAAUUGUAUUUAUUAAAAUGAAAAAUUCACAUGCUCCUUGACUUGGAAAUCUCACUUAUGAUAAUUUAACUGUCAGAAAUAAAAGUGCCAGUAUUGUAUAGGUAAGUUUACAAGAGUGUUUACUGCAAUAGUAAUAGCAACAAUCAGAGUGUCCGCUGAUAAGGAACAGUUAUGUAAAUUAUGGUGUAUUUAUACUAUGGACUACUCUCCAAUCAUUAAAAGGAAUAAGGCAUAUUGACUUGGAAAGCCAUCCAUGAUAUAUUGCUGAGUAAAAGAGAAGGCUAUAGUAACCCCAUGUUUGUGAAAGAAAGUGAACUAGUAUUAUAUGUUUAUAUGUUUGUAUACAUGAAGAAUAAAGUGUGUAAGGAGUCAUACUAGAUUUUUAACAGUGAUUACAUUGGGGGAUGGCUUUGGAUGGGGAGUGGAAGAAUAUAUCAAUUUAACUUUAGAAACUUUUUUAUUGUCUUUGAAGUGUUUCAGUUAACCUGUGUUGCUUUUGUUAUUCAAACGCCAAAAUAAACAUGCUUAAAAAAAGUUGUAGAUGCAAGAAUGUUCACUGCAGCAUUAUUUAUGAUGGUGAAAAAUUGGAAAAUAAUAUAAAUGUCUGACAAUAAAGACUGGUUAAACACAUUUGAAAUAUCUGUAUGGCAGAAUAUUAGGAGCCUAUUAUAAUGAUCUUUUAGACAAAUUUUAAUGUUGUGGUAAAAUGGUCAUGAAUAAUGCAAGGUGAGAAAAGUAGAAUAC